UUUGGUACUUCAUCCAAUUUACUUUAAAUUUGCAUGUUGAAAAAAAGAUAUCCAAAGGCAGGCUGAGCCCAUCACUGCCCAGCUGCCCUGGUAGGGCUCCCAUGGCACCAUGCUGUGGUGGUGUGCUGUGCCAGGGAAGGCUGUGCUGCAUCCAGAGCACUGCCCAGCCUUUUCCAUAAGCUGCAUAUACCACAGAGGUACAGGGGCUACACAUACCAGAAUGUGGGGCAGUGCUGCAUCAGCUGGGUAGGAGUUUGUUUUGCUGUUUCUGUUUGGUUUUUUCACCUCGGUGAUAAUUCUUACCCAAUGCGUGAUCUCUGCUCUAUGUACUUUACUACUCCUUGUGAUAAUCAAAAUCCGGCCCUGAACUUUUUCACUACAAAGGAAACAAGAACUUUGCCCUGUUGGCUGUUAACUGGGCACUCAGCAAUGCCGCAGCCUCUUCUCACGUGCAAAAACCUCCAAAGUCUGUGGAAAUCAGGGUUAUGCUGAUGACAGAAUGCUUAUUGUUUUUGCACCAGCGCGGGUGGACAUCAGGUACUUUGACAUGGACACGAGAUGUCUGGUGUCAGACUCCUUAAAAAAGGAGCAAGCACUCAACCGGUUGCUGAAAAAAAAAACCUUUAAAGGCCAGGGCCGCCAAUAAUGUUCUGUGUAUGGCUCAAAGUGCAACCUGUGGUGGGUUCAAAGCUCUGAAACAUUAACCAGACCUUGGGCCACCGUCUGUAGUUGCCGCUGAGUGCCCACACCAUGGCUCCCGGGAGCAGGAAAAGAGGGUGGCACUAUUAUUAUCCGUGCGGAGAAAGGGCACAGUGGUGUUUGCACAGCGUGGACGGAAGCGCUGGUGGCAGCCCUGAGGUGCUGGGUGUGCGGCGAUGGGGCAGCAAUGACAAGUGGUGAGGUGUCCUGGAGAUCAGAUGAGGUGAUAUGAGGAGCCAGAAAGCAUUUCUGAGCAUUCAAGUGUUGUAACCGUGUUACUGCUCCCUGAGCUCAGCUGACACAGGAGACAGGUAAACAUCUCCCACUGCCCAGGUAGGUGACAGUGUAUAAAUCUUCAGAACACCCUGAGGAAUAACAGAUCUUUUGCAACUUUGCCUUCGAACUCUGAAGGACUUAAGCUUGCGUGAUGGAUGGCAGCGGCGCCCAGCCGUAUUCUGAGGCAUAGCACAGCUCCCAACUCCCUUGCAGAAGUUUUAUCCUCAGCCGGAGGGAGGGUUCAGCAAGCUGUGCGUCAGUGCCGACUCUUGCAGCUGUAGAAACUUGUCAUUUCCUUUCCAAACACCGGCACCCUCUGCAAGGCAGCUGGCCUUGGGCCAAAACCCAUUCCUGUAGUGUCUGUUCCUGCUAUAUACUUGUGUAAUGUUAACUUACCUGAUUCCUAAUGUGGGUUUCUCCACAACCACCGCCACGUAUCUGUAUCUUGUCAGUGUGUGGCUUUGGGAACAGCCUCUUCCAUUAUCAAGCCUUAAAGUGAGUUUACGUCUCAGCGUGUCCUUGUUCAGGGGAGCAAAGCGAUGCUUUGCUGUGCUUAUGCUGAAUCACUGUUACCUGGCAAGGGUUUGGAAACUGUGAGAUCAUAUUUUAUUGUAGCACAUUACAGCUGUAGAAAAGGUAUUGGAUCCUGGGUUUAUAUCAAAAGACUUAUACUUGAUCAGGAUGAUAAAAUAUUUAGGUUUAGAACUUUGCCUUCACAGCUCUUUGUAAAGUAAUUGCUCUAGUAGUAGUGGCAGAAGAAAGGACAUGCUCAUUUAUGAUGCUUUAAAUCAGACAAAUCAUUUCCGAAGACAAAUAACAAAACCGUAGCAGAGAGCUCUGGUGCAGGGCUCCUUCUUGGAUUGUAAACACUACAAGACAGAAACCAUCAAUAUUUGCACAGUGUUCAGCCCAGCACAGUGCAGCUUCUCUGUCUGGGCCUUUGGAGGCACUAAUAGGAAUAUUAAAUCAUUUUGAAUACCUUCUUGCAAUAUUUACAGUUUAACAAUAACCAAGCAUAUGAGCACCAAAUACUGUGGAUUGUGAGCAGGCAGCACCAGAACCAGAAAACCUGCAAUGAGGACCUGCCUUGUGAUAUCUUCCCCCUGCUUAUCACACAUGUGCUGUGGUAGCCAGGAUCCUUUCUGGUGCUCCCACUAUUCAUCAGAAGCAACUUAGAAGGAAUGAUGCCAGAGUAAGUGUGUUACUGUAUGAGCUGUCACCAGUUGUUCCAAGGACUGUGGAUUGAAAAGUCAGGGGGGGUAAAAAAAGCAUUAAAAAUACCACUGCUAUGUUGCCCUGUGGGCUCACAGAAAUGUGACACAGAGAAGAAUUAGCCUUUUGCGGUUUCAUGUUUCCCUGACCUUUUAAGAGGGGGAAAAAAAACCAGAUCCAAAUUCUGCUCCCAGUUACAAUGCUGAAAGUCCAGAGAAAAUGUAAUACACUGGCUCCUGAGGUGUGAGAGCAGAGUUUCAUGUUAUUUAUUGAAAAGCAGAGAGAGCUGAGUUGUAAAGACAAAUUAACAAAAGCUUUGUGAGUUCAAAGAUAAACCUCCAUCCCAGGCAAGUGUAAUUGCUGGUGUUUGAGUGUAAUUUUGGUGUUUAAGGAGAUCCAUUCAACCUGCUCUGGUGGGAUUUCUGUCUUGCUGUCAGUGUGAGGUAAAGCAGAAAACACGUGGCUCCUAGAGCACAAUGCCCUCUUACAUGUGAGCGAGGGAUGUGCCGCAGGAGAGGACUCUUGGGUACCAGCACUGCAGCUGACAGCCUCUGGCAGUGGAAACGACUGCUGAUGCAUGUGGCAGGGAUGCUGUGACAGCAUCUGCAGUCGCACCACUUGACACUUGGGAAGGCCUUGAACUGCUAGCGUUAAGCUCACACGAGCUACUUGAAAUGGAAACAGUUCCAGUUAGAAGUCAUUUCAGAAUUGUUAUUUUCGCUUAUGCAGCUGUUGACAAACAAAACCUGCUUGGAUUAUACUUUAAUGACAAACUCUGCAUGCUUCCCCCUUUCUUUUGGCUUAGGUUCUUGGUUUUAUAUCCCAGCUUCCACUAAAGGAAAUUUUUAUCUCAGAGAAAAUACAGGAGGUGGGCUGCAUCCUACCUGAAAUCCCAGCAUUGCCUGGCAGAAGCUGAUAGACAUGAAUCAUCACAAUGAAUGCAAUACUGCACAAAAGUAGCUUUUUUUACAAGCACAAGGUUGUUAAGCAAAGGAUGAGAAACACAUGGAGUACACUGAAGUUUGCCAAUGUAUGGCUGGGUUCCCAGGUCCGUGUAUGUUCUUGCAGGCAGGCUGUCAUGAUGCUAUUGCCAGGAAAGAUGUAAACAAAAGCAAACCUCUUUUCAGUUGAAGCAUUAGGUUAGUAAUACAGACUUCAUGGAGUCUUUCAGAUUGAUACACACCAUCUAUUUGUCAGAGCUGUUUUCCUCUUAUGUGUAGUCAUACAGCCUCUUUGACGUAAGUCACCGUUUUUUACAUUUUUUAAAUAACAGCAAUAUUUACUAUGUGGUGAAUCAGGGUAAUGAGCAAGAUCAGAGGAUCAUGACUUAAAAUUCAUGUGUUUUAGGCAAAACAUUUCUGGAUUCCCUUGAAAACUGACACACAGACAUGUUUCUAUUGAAGUUGCUACAGGUUUGUCUUUAUGUAGGCCUCCACUAAAUUUUAUAGCUGGCAAUUAGUCUGGGAUGAAGUCUGGUUUCCCUUCCAACACUGCAAAUGCAAUUGUGUAACUUCACUAAAAUUCCAAGCCUGGUUCUUAUGCUGGAUUAAAACAGUAGAUAGUGAGAUAAAAAGAGAAGUCACCCUUUCAAACUCUUCUUUCCCACUAUGACAGCUUACUUCAUGGAAGCAGCAGCCAUCUGACCUGGAUUACUUUUGGUUCGUGUUUAAUGCACACCACAAUCCCUGGGAGUUGCCACUGCUCCCAUAGCAAUGCCCUGCCCUGUGCAAGGCCUGCUGUUGCCAGGGGCUUGUAUCUCCCUGACCUCAGCUGGCAUCAUGAUACUGCCCUGCAUCUGAUGGUUUGUGGAAAUUGUAGAAUUGUGGUCAUGGUGGCACUGAUGCAUUGGGAAGGGAUGUCACAUAUUUAAAAACUAUUUACUGAAACAUUGCACCGAGGUGAGAAGGAAUUUUCCCCUUCAGCUGUUGCUAGAGGUGUGAUUGUCCCACAGCACAGCAAUAUGCUAUCUCAGCUUUAGUGCAACAUCUGUGAGCUGUCUGGCCCACAUGAUUUUUUCCCCUUUUGUUGUCAAUUAUUGACUGGAGAGAUGAAGUAUGACAUGUGCUUAAGUGCAUCAGUUAUCUCAAUUUCCUUCCCCUUAUGCCUAGCUUAGCCAAGAUUUACCAGAACAGUCUACCAAAUAAAGAAGUUUCAGUAUUUUUUUUUGUUUUUCAGGUGAUAGGAGUUUUCUUCUGAAGACUGACAAAAAGACUGGAGCACAGUGAGUUAUUAUUACAACCACUUAUUAAAAAAAAAAAAAAGACAAAAGAACAUGCUGCAAGAUAACAAAUAAUAUAGCCCAACUUGUGCAAUGCAGUAACUUCUCAAUGCUACAAAAAAAAAUCAGGGACGAUCACAGUUCUGAACACACACUCACAAAACCAUUCCAGAUUGCAACUGUGAGCACCCAUAGUCCGUUCAACAGGAAAAACUAAGAUAUAGUCUUUUAAGGACUUUGAUAAUUCUCUAGUUUUAAGCAGUGAUAAGUGAUAGGUUGGACAUUUCCACUGGGGAAAUAGGCUAGUUACAUUGGAAUGGGUUACCCUUUGCUAUUCAACAUCUCAGCUCCCUAGUUACCAGCUCCAAACUAAGGUGUUUGCCUCAGCACAUGGUUGUUUACACAGUGACUUAUCUUACCUUGGUGAGAUAUUUGAUACCCAUAAAACAUCCAUCACACUCUGUCCUACUGCUUUUCUUUAACUCAGGGCAAGGCCCAUCCCUCUUCCAAAACCUUUGACAACUUUGAAAUAUGGCAAUGUUGCUGGUAGCUCAGGGGCUGUGCCAUGGUUGCUUUCUCCAGAGGCUCUGCAACACCUCAGUACUUCCCCCUCUUUGAACAGAAGUGGCAAAAUCCAUAAUUUGUUUCCAUUCUGCAUUCUGCUUGGCUGAAAAUGAGGAAAAGUUCGGCACCCUGUCAUGGAGAUAGUUAAGUGAAGAGUCAAUACAAUGAAGGCCUCUGCACUGUGGUGGCAAUGUCACAACUCAGCUUGUUUUAAAACAUAGCUUUUUUUUUUUUCCUUGUUUCGUGUGUGUUUUCUUUUUCCCUCUGGGUGGAGCAGAGCUGGGAAGGUGAUGACUUACCUGCUACAGCUUGGUAGAUCGCAAUCUGGAACUGGCAGAGUGUUAACACAAUGCCCCAGCAGAGCUUUUCUGUCUCUAAUUUCAAUGAUUAUGUUGUUACUGGAUCAGUGAAGAGAACCAUGAAAAACACAAUUACCAGGAAGCCCUGUUCCUUAGCUCGCUUCUUUGUCUCAUGCGAAUGGGGCAUGUGACUCACGAGCAAUAGAGGACCGGCUGUAAUCUCACGCGCUACCGAGAAGGGUGCUGUCCUCCGAUGGGACCCAAGCGUGGGAAAGCCUUACUGCCGGCUGGAAGGGCCAGUCACGUCAUGUUUUGCAGCUGGCAUCCAAAUGCAUCCUCGUGAAUCAAGUGAGAGCAGCUACCUUCUCCUGCCACAACGGUGGCCAAGCAGCCGUGCAGAAGAGGGGCUGUAAAAACCUCCCCGCAUGCAAAAGCACAGGGAAGGGACAGUGUUGUGAAUGAGUUUACUGUGACGGCACAAAAAUGUUUUGUAGGUCACUGGCAUGGCAUCAUACUCCAGGGAGAGGGGAUGAGUAUCUUUUAGCUGUGAGUGAUGGUCUCAGGUUUGCCCAGUGCAGGACUGUGGCUAGUGGGCCUGACCCGACCCUGUCACGUGAUGCGCAGUGGGAAAAGAGAAAUUCACUUGCUCUCUGUGCUCCAAAUCAUGUAUAAACCUAUGACCUCAACAACAAAUACCAGUAGCAGCAGAGCAGCCAAUAUUUUUAUCAUUAAUUGCUAUCAAAAAUGUCGGCUCAAAGUCAUCAGAUUUGAUAGGCAAGCAUGCUCCAAACUGACGGCCGAAGUUGAAUUAUUUGCCUAUUGCGUGAUGCAAAAACAAUGUCUUGCAGGAGAGAACAGACAUUGGCAAACAAACUGACAGCAAGAUAUACUUCUGGGGAAGGCUUCUGAUUUGAUCUGGAAGGAAACACUGAGUAUAAAUAUGGAGAAAGUUUACCUGCAUGAAAGGUGGGGUUGAGCCAUGGCUUGGACUUCCUUACUCCGCUGGAGAACAGUGUGAAACGUACCUGCUAUUCUACUCCCUUUGAGCUGUUCUCAUUACAAAAAGGUACCAGACACCUCAGAAAGUUUUUAAGUAAUAAAGCAUUUUUCCCCCAUCCCUGGUGCAUCCAUUUAUCAGUGACUAAUGAGCACAUAAAUUCCAGCAUGUGGAGAAAAAUCCCUUCAUCUUGGUGUUAAGCAGAAUUUUCCCUGCCCAUGGAUCUGCAGCACAAAUCUUUCUGGUCUUUCUUGGCUGAGGGUCUAAACACAGGUAGACAGUACAUGGUGCAGCACUGGCACACUAAUAAUGUAACUACUAGGUACUACAAAUUGAAUCAGGACCUGUUUAAAUACUGGUAUAACCAUGACCAUCAUCCAGGACAUGUUUCUGUGGGAUUUGGUGACUGUCUUUAUUUCACCCAGUGGGAAAAACCCCAUACGGAAGGAGGAUUCAAGUGAAGGGAAAGUUAGCUAUGCCUGCCAGGAAUCUCUUUUUCCCCCAAAAAUUCAGACAUCACAGGACAUAAGCAGAAAAUGAAAGAGAACCAGUGAGGGGAAAACCAAACAGGCUGGGGUCUUCUUGCCACUUCUUUUGAAGUCCCCAGUGUAACUCCUGGCAUCUUCAGUGGGGUUUGGCUGGGCUCUGUGCAGAAGCGCCUUUGAAGAUUUUGCUAAGGCUCAAGGCCUUGAUCAUGGCAACUUUUAUGCCUAUGAGCAGCUCUGUGCAGAUGAACACUUCCAGGGUGCUCAGCAGGAUGCUUUGGAUGAGACUUUGCAGGGCUAGUCUUAAGCAAUGAGAGCUUAAGAGAAAUAUUCUGGUUGUCAUGCUUUUAUCCUUGACCACAUCAAAUGAAAUGCCUUGGCAGUUCUGGAAGAAUGAAUUUGCAUUGAAAACCCACAGCUCUUACAAGCAGUGCAUUAAUUAUUUUAUUAAUUUGCUCUUUUUACAUUAUGGGAAACAUUCAUCUAUUUACAUUUUCCUGUCCACACACAAACCAGAUAGAUAAUCCUAUGGAAACCCAAAUCAUUAAGCCAUAAAAACUCUUCUGUCGAAAGGCUUUCAAAUUUGUGUCUUUUGUUUCAAAUCAAAAACAUUUUUAAAAUCACAUUUGGGAAUGCAGGUAGGCCAGUGAUUUACAUUCUACUUAAAAUAUGCAUUUGACCAUUUUCCUUAAAAAAACAAAACAAAACCAAAAACCAAUAAACCAAAACCCCCAAUAAAUUCACAAUGAUACAGUUUAAGUUAAAGUGAUAGUGCACAUCAAAGCAUUAAGGGAACACCAAUAAAUAAAAUUAAAUAUAUUACAAAUAAAUUAUUUCUAUUUACCUUUUCAAAUAUUAAAAAUCUUUAAUCCAUUUCUUCAUCUUUCUUUACAAAAAGAUUAUGAGAAUUUUAUGGAAACAUCUGCAAAAAAUAUAAUAAAUACCUCUUUUUUUUUUUUUAAACUUUUGAAGCAGGAGACAAAACCAACCUUUUCUAAAAUUUCCCCAAGAAAAAAAAAGCAAUAGUUUAGUCCUGAAGUGAAACAGAAUAUAGGCAUUUUUAAAAUACACUGGGCAAUUUAGACUAAAAACAAAUAGUUACAAAUUAUACUAAAACAGAUGAUGGAGCAAAUAUACUAGCAUUAGUGUUUGUAAAUGAGUCAAGUGGUUAACUAGUGGCAUUCUAUGGGCAGAAUUAUUUUAUUUUGUAUUUUCUGGUAUUGGCUGUAUUUUUUAAUAUUUUGCUAAAAAACUAGGCAAACAUUAUAAUAACCUCUCCAGUGCCAAAUGAACUAACAAGCAUUCAGCUAAGAAUAAAUUCAUUUAAAAUAGAUACAAAAAAUAUUCUAUGAUAUACAAAUACAAUAAUUUGUAAUGUACAAGACUAGAUAGUCUUCACUUUUCUGCUUUUUUUAGGGGAGAACUUGCUGGAUAUAAAUUUCUGUAGCCACUUGUCAACCAAAGUCUUAACUCAUCUUUCGUAAAACGUUCACAAAACUAAGUAAGUCUGCGACACAGUUGUGAAUGUGGACUCUCACCUAGGUACUGCUUUGAAUACUUCAGUACAAAUGAGUUCCAAAUAAUUAAUACUUCCUAUGACUAUAUAUGCUCAAAAGUGGCAGUUGGCACUAUUACAUACUGCAAACACGGUGAUGUUUUGUUGCUGCUAAAAGUUAAACGCAGUGUUUCAAAACUAGCAAAUACACUGGUAUUCAAACGCUUAGAGGGUCAAACCUUUUGAAGCUCCUGUAACACCAAGCACUCUAGAGUUACACUGGAUUUCUGAUUACUCUAGUUAAAAGUCUUUUAUAUAUUAAAUUAUUAGCCCUUAUCUUGUAAACCACAGCAGUAAAUAUUUGUGCCCUGUUUAUAAAGACAUAGCUCAGAUAUCGAUGGCUUUGAGAGGUAGCAAAUUCUCUAGUGGUUUUAGUAUGCUCUCAUGAAAAUACUUGGUGCCAGAACCUAUUACCUCUCCUAUUUUCUCGAAUGAAAUUAAAUUAGCACCUGGCUAUGAUGUCAUAGGAAAAUAAGCUGUCUGGCAUGGUCUCGAUGAAUACUUUUAGCAAGAGCUUAACUUUUUGAUGACGAUUUCAAUGCUUUUUAAGUGCAAGCUGCAGAAUUACGCCACAUGUGCAGCUGAGUUUUUCACUGGCUGGACUGUCCAUACAGAUUGAGCUGCCAUGGGCACAGCCAGCUAGCACAGCAAGCUGUGCCCCUCCAUGGUGGGGCUGUCCCUGUCCUUGUGCCUGUGCCCACUGGGAGCAGAAAGCAGCGUGCCUUCCUCUCCCAAGUACCCCUGCCCUGGCAGACAGGGUGAAGAGCACGAAGGGAGCAGCAGAGGAGUCUGGAAAACAUCGCUGCAGGACUGCACACGCGCUGAGGGCUGCACAGUGCUCCUCUGCUUACACCAGUCCUGUCACCCAAAGCAGCCCUGUCACCCACAGCAGCUCACGCUAAUUCUGCUGGCAGCAGCACAUGCCAGUUAGGCACACGUGUGCACUCACACACGCUCGCUCGCUCGCACGCACACAACUCGCUUUCAGCAACAUGCCUGACAUAGCUUUCCUAAUGUUGGCACAAGAGAUUCCAGUAGCAGCGUGGUCGGCAUCAUUCCUCAUCAGAGGAGCUGGAGGACAAGCCCCUGACCCAGCCAGAGGUGGCUGGAGGGGACAGACACAGGAGCUGACCUCUCAGGCUCCUCUCCAGCCCUAUUAUCUGCCAUUUCCGCCCACUAUUAAUGAGCUACUUAGGAUGCAUAUUUUUUGUGAUUGCAAAACAAUGGCAGAAGCCAGGGUAGAAAGGCUUGUCGUGAAAAAUAUUAAGUUAAUAUUGAUCCCAUAACUUGUGAAAAAUAGUCUAUUGUUCUUGUUCAAGUGAGUACGUUAUACUAUUAAGAGGAGGCUGAAUUAGAAAUUUACUCCUAAAUAUGGACGAUUUGGUGAUAAGCAGUCUGAACUGUAGCAUACAACCAGCUGUGGAUAGAGCAAAGCAAGCCUGGCCUGGAAAAGCAUCAGAGGCUCCGUGUUCUGUAAUUCACCUACAGGUGUCCAUGUGUGGCUGCGUGGACGUAUGAGAUUGGAUGGUCCCACCGAGAUUAAGACAUCAACAAAACCAAGCUUUUUUUUUCUUUUUUUCUUUUUUUUUUUUUUUAAC